rnacentral:rRNA from 1 species
UACAGAGGUCUCAAGCGUUGUUCGGAAUUACUGGGCGUAAAGGGUGCGCAGGCCGCGCGGGCAGUCAAAUGUGUAAUCCAGGGGCUCAACCCCUGAACUGCGCUUGAUACUUCCGCGCUCGAGCUUUGGAGAGGAGUCUGGAAUUCUCGGUGUAGCAGUGAAAUGCGUGGAUAUCGAGAAGAACACUUAGGGCGUAGGCAAGACUCUGGACAAAUGCUGACGCUCAUGCACGAAGGCUAGGGUAGCGAACGG